rnacentral:lncRNA from 1 species
GUAAAUUCAUCCAUUCCAGAAAAAGAUAGAUAACUUGAUUUGAACUCCUAUUACCUCAUAAAAGGUAACAAGGUAAUUAGGAAUUAUCUAUCUAAAAAAUUCAUAUGUAUUUCAAAAAAGUUUUAAAGACCCAAAGAAAUUAUCUAUCUAAAAAUUCAUAUGUAUUUCAAAAAAGUUAUGUUUUUUAGCAUUCCUCUCAAACUGUUUCUACGACUGAUAACUGGGAAAAUAAAAACGAAAAAGGCAGGUUUUUGUUUGCAUAAGAGUGUGGGGUGGCUGCUCAUCUUGACAUCUGCCAGGGAGGUAUACAACCUCUCAAGAUCUUCAGGACUUGGAAGAAAAUUAUAAACCUUUUCUUAAAUCCAAGUUACUUCUAUGUCAGAGUUCAAACCACAAGUAAUAGAGAAAUCUUCCAGGAGUAGUUGUUUUUUCCAAUGUUUAAAACAUCCCGACAUCAAACAUAAUGACAUUUCCAGCACCUCACUGGCUUUAAACCAUUUGAAGAAUUAUCAAGGGUUUAAAGCAUUUCACAGUUUCACCAAAUAAAUCUAAGAUCCACCAAAUCCAAAUGUAAACUCUAUUCCAGAGUCCAUUGCAAGACUAAAUUGGAUCUCCAAUUUACCAAAUUAAAGACCAUAUAGCAUUAAAGAUAUUCAUCGAGAUUCACGAACAACAUCGAUGUACAGCAAAUUUAACCAGAAACAUACUAAAAGUGAAAAGGCGACAGAGUAAUCAAUAGAAAACGUAUAUUAAAAAUAGAUUAAUUGGAAUAAUAGAUUCCUGAUUCAAUUCGAAGUUUAGAAAACAAGAGGAAAACAGUAAUUAGGAAUUUGAACCUUCAGCCAUCAUCAUCAGGUCCAGAGAGGAGCGUUUGAAGAGCUGCCGGAGAAAGAAAGAAGCGAGCAACAAUCGAGAGAGGGAUUUUCAGAUUGAAAACUAAUACGCAUCAUUCGAAUUUCUAAUUACGAGAAAUUCAUCAGGAUCUUGCUGCAUCGUCUACAAAUACCCUCAGACCUCGAUCGCCACUUCAAGCGUAGCUCUUUCCGCCGGACUCACGCAACCUCAAGCAGGUUCCCCUCUACUUUCAGAGUUCGGAGGCCUGUUUCAGUUUAAGUAGGGUUUCCCGACCCAAUGCUAAAAUG